UGUGUGUUAGUGGAAGCGUCUGGAAAGGCGCGCGAUACAGGGUGACAGCCCCGUACACAAAAAUGCACAUGCUGUGAGCUCGAUGAGUAGGGCGGGACACGUGGUAUCCUGUCUGAAUAUGGGGGGACCAUCCUCCAAGGCUAAAUACUCCUGACUGACCGAUAGUGAACCAGUACCGUGAGGGAAAGGCGAAAAGAACCCCGGCGAGGGGAGUGAAAAAGAACCUGAAACCGUGUACGUACAAGCAGUGGGAGCACGCUUAGGCGUGUGACUGCGUACCUUUUGUAUAAUGGGUCAGCGACUUAUAUUCUGUAGCAAGGUUAACCGAAUAGGGGAGCCGAAGGGAAACCGAGUCUUAACUGGGCGUUAAGUUGCAGGGUAUAGACCCGAAACCCGGUGAUCUAGCCAUGGGCAGGUUGAAGGUUGGGUAACACUAACUGGAGGACCGAACCGACUAAUGUUGAAAAAUUAGCGGAUGACUUGUGGCUGGGGGUGAAAGGCCAAUCAAACCGGGAGAUAGCUGGUUCUCCCCGAAAGCUAUUUAGGUAGCGCCUCGUGAAUUCAUCUCCGGGGGUAGAGCACUGUUUCGGCAAGGGGGUCAUCCCGACUUACCAACCCGAUGCAAACUGCGAAUACCGGAGAAUGUUAUCACGGGAGACACACGGCGGGUGCUAACGUCCGUCGUGAAGAGGGAAACAACCCAGACCGCCAGCUAAGGUCCCAAAGUCAUGGUUAAGUGGGAAACGAUGUGGGAAGGCCCAGACAGCCAGGAUGUUGGCUUAGAAGCAGCCAUCAUUUAAAGAAAGCGUAAUAGCUCACUGGUCGAGUCGGCCUGCGCGGAAGAUGUAACGGGGCUAAACCAUGCACCGAAGCUGCGGCAGCGACGCUUAUGCGUUGUUGGGUAGGGGAGCGUUCUGUAAGCCUGUGAAGGUGUACUGUGAGGUAUGCUGGAGGUAUCAGAAGUGCGAAUGCUGACAUAAGUAACGAUAAAGCGGGUGAAAAGCCCGCUCGCCGGAAGACCAAGGGUUCCUGUCCAACGUUAAUCGGGGCAGGGUGAGUCGACCCCUAAGGCGAGGCCGAAAGGCGUAGUCGAUGGGAAACAGGUUAAUAUUCCUGUACUUGGUGUUACUGCGAAGGGGGGACGGAGAAGGCUAUGUUGGCCGGGCGACGGUUGUCCCGGUUUAAGCGUGUAGGCUGGUUUUCCAGGCAAAUCCGGAAAAUCAAGGCUGAGGCGUGAUGACGAGGCACUACGGUGCUGAAGCAACAAAUGCCCUGCUUCCAGGAAAAGCCUCUAAGCAUCAGGUAACAUCAAAUCGUACCCCAAACCGACACAGGUGGUCAGGUAGAGAAUACCAAGGCGCUUGAGAGAACUCGGGUGAAGGAACUAGGCAAAAUGGUGCCGUAACUUCGGGAGAAGG
rnacentral:rRNA from 1 species